rnacentral:rRNA from 1 species
AUUGAACGCUGGCGGCAGGCCUAACACAUGCAAGUCGAGCGGAAGCACGGAGCGUGCUCGCGGAUUCAGCGGGGGACGGGUGAGUAAUGGCGAGGAACAUGGCUGGUCGCGGGGGCUAACGUGCGGACAUGGGGGAAAAUACGCCAAUCGCCCUGACGGAGUAAGGGGGGGAUCAUGGGACCUUACGCUAUUAGAUGAGCGAAGGACGCAUUAGCUAGUUGGGGGGGUAAAGGCGUACAAAGGCGACGAUCCGUAACUGGUCUGAGAGGAUGAUCAGCCACACUGGAACUGAGACACGGUCCAGACUCCUACGGGAGGCAGCAGUGGGGAAUAUUGGACAAUGGGCGAAAGCCUGAUCCAGCCAUGCCGCGUGGGUGAAGAAGGUCUUCGGAUUGUAAAGCACUUUUGUUUGGAAAGAAAGGCAGUAGGUUAAUACCUUGCUGUUUUGACGGUACCAACAGAAUAAGCACCGGCUAACUUCGUG